AGUGGAAUAGAAUGGAGUUUAUUCAGAGAGAGAAAGACAGUGGAAUAGAAUGGAUUUUAUUCAGAGAGAGAAAGAAAGAAAGAAAGUGGAAUAGAAUGGAGUUUAUUCAGAGAGAGAAAGAAAGAAAGUGGAAUAGAAUGGAGUUUAUUCAGAGAGA